rnacentral:rRNA from 1 species
CUAAUAUAGUGAAGCUAUAUUAUUCGAAUUUAUUCGAAAGCUAACGGGGUGAACUGAAACAUCUAAGUAACCCUAGGAAAAGAAAACAAUAGUGAUUCCCUAAGUAGUGGCGAGCGAACAGGGAAUAGCCCAAACCAAUUUUGUUACGGCAAGAUUGGGGUUGUAGGACUGCAUCGUGGAGAAGUAUAUGAUAGUGGAAAGAUUUUGGAAAAGUCUGCCACAGAGGGUGAAAGCCCCGUACACGAAAUUAUAUAUCAUCCUAGCAGUAUCCUGAGUAGGGCGGGGCCGGUGAAACCCUGUCUGAAUCUAGCGGCACCAUCCGCUAAGGCUAAAUACUCCUGAGAGACCGAUAGUGAACCAGUACCGUGAGGGAAAGGUGAAAAGCACCCUGAACAAGGGAGUGAAAUAGAACCUGAAACCGUGCGCCUACAAGCGGUCGGAGCUGCAUUUAUGUAGUGACGGCGUGCCUUUUGCAUAAUGAGCCUACGAGUUACUCCUCUCUGGCCAGAUUAAUUGACAUAAGUCAAGUAGUCGUAGCGAAAGCGAGUCUGAAUAGGGCGAAAAAGUCAGGGGGGGUAGACGCGAAACUUUGUGAUCUACCCAUGACCAGGUUGAAGGUCCGGUAACACGGACUGGAGGACCGAACCAGUUGACGUUGAAAAGUCUUUGGAUGAGUUGUGGGUAGGGGUGAAAGGCUAAUCAAACUGAGAGAUAGCUCGUACUCCCCGAAAUGUAUUUAGGUACAGCCUCGUGUUAAGUGUUAUAGAGGUAGAGCUACUGAUUGGACUAGGGGGCUUCACCGCCUGCCAAAUCCUGACAAACUCCGAAUGCUAUAACAUGUUUCACGGGAGUGAGGCCAUGGGUGCUAAGGUCCGUGGCCGAGAGGGAAAGAACCCAGACCAUCUGCUAAGGUCCCCAAAUUUAUGUUAAGUUGAUCUAACGAGGUUUGAUUGCAGUGACAGCUAGGAUGUUGGCUUGGAAGCAGCCAUUCAUUUAAAGAGUGCGUAACAGCUCACUAGUCGAGCGAUCGAGCGUGGAUGAUAAUCGGGCAUUAAACAUAAUACCGAAGCAAUGGAAUUGUAAUUUAUUACAAUUGGUAGGGGAGCAUUCCAGUCAGCGUCGAAGCUGUAGCGCGAGCUAUGGUGGAGCGUCUGGAAAAGCAAAUGUAGGCAUAAGUAACGAUAAUGCGGGCGAGAAACCCGCACACCGUAAGACUAAGGAUUCCUGAUCAACGCUAAUCGGAUCAGGGUUAGUCGGGACCUAAGGCGAACCCGAAAGGGGUAGUCGAUGGACAAUCGGUUAAUAUUCCGAUACUAGUUAUUAUUGUGAUGGGGUGACGGAGUAGUGAAAGUCCCGCGUGCUGACGGAAUAGUACGUUGAACACUGUAGGUAUAGAGACGGUAGGCAAAUCCGCCGACUCUGCUGAAGGUGGAUAGUACCGCAAGUCUUCGGAUGAGCGGAUAGUGGACCUAAUCAGACUUCCAAGAAAAACCUCUAAACUUCAGAUAAUAACUACCCGUACCGUAAACCGACACAGGUAGUCGAGGAGAGUAUCCACAGGUGCUCGAGUGAUUCAUGGCUAAGGAACUAGGCAAAUUAACCCCGUAACUUCGGGAGAAGGGGAGCCAUCUUCGGAUGGCCGCAGAGAAAUGGCCCAGGCGACUGUUUAUCAAAAACAUAUGGCUUUGCUAAAUUUAACGAUGAUGUAUAAGGCCUGACACCUGCCCGGUGCUGGAAGGUUAAGUGGAGAUGUUAUCACCCUCGGGUGAGAAGCUUUGAAAUGAAGCCCCAGUAAACGGCGGCCGUAACUAUAACGGUCCUAAGGUAGCGAAAUUCCUUGUCGGGUAAGUUCCGACCUGCACGAAUGGUGUAACGAUUUGGGCACUGUCUCGGCCAUGAGCUCGGUGAAAUUGAAGUAUCGGUGAAGAUGCCGGUUACCCGCAACGGGACGGAAAGACCCCGUGAACCUUUACUAUAGCUUAACAUUGAUUUUGGGUAAACGAUGUGUAGGAUAGGU